rnacentral:rRNA from 1 species
UACGGGAGGGACUAGCGUUGUUCGGAAUUACUGGGCGUAAAGCGCACGUAGGCGGAUUUGUAAGUCCAGGGGUGAAAGUCCCGGGGCUCAACCUCGGAACUGCCUUUGAUACUGCAAAUCUCGAGUCCGGAAGAGGUGAGUGGAAUUCCUAGUGUAGAGGUGAAAUGCGCAGAUAUCAGGAGGAACACCAAUGGCGAAGGCAGCUCGCUGGGACGUGACUGACGCUGAGACGCGAAGCGUGGGGAGCAAACAGG